UGCAAAGGAGCCAGAUGCCGUAUCAGAA
rnacentral:piRNA from 1 species